UACAGAGGGUGCAAGCGUUGUUCGGAAUUAUUGGGCGUAAAGCGCGUGUAGGCUGCUUUGUAAGUCAGAUGUGAAAGCCCUCGGCUUAACCGAGGAAGUGCGUCUGAAACUGCAGAGCUUGAGUACCGGAGAGGAUGGCGGAAUUCUGCAAGUAGAGGUGAAAUUCGUAGAUAUUGGGAAGAACACCAGUGGCGAAGGCGGCUAACUGGUCCAGCACUGACGCUGAGGUGCGAAAGCGUGGGGAGCAAACAGG
rnacentral:rRNA from 1 species